CGGCAGAGGAGCGGAAGUUGGCUGCCGGCGUGGCCGAAGCGUGUGUAGAGUGAGAGGAGGAGCGUUUGUCGCCUUGGCGUCUGUCAGCAGGCGCAGUGAAAGACAAAGAUGAAGACCCCCUGGAAGGCGUUGAAAGUGGUGAAGAGAUAGGCCAUGACCACCGACUCCUUAUUGAUGAAGAGCAGGCCGAAAGCCCAAGUGAGACCCAGCAGGAAGAGCAGCGCGAUGGCCCCCAGGGCCCAGGAUCUGGGGAGGGGGAGAGGGAGAAGGGAUAUCAAAGUCCCUUACAGUGGAGAAGCCCUCCCCCGUAGCCCUGCUGCGUGUCCCUCUUCAGGCGAGCCUCGAUGCUGGCUGCAAAGACCCACCUAGGAUGCGCGGGCCUCGGGGGGAAUGGCCUGCACCGCGGUACUUUCAACCAGCCCGGGCCCGAGGUCGGGGUUUGGGGUUUUGCAAAGGUCAGUCGUUAGCCUUCACCCUUUGGUCCGUGUUUCCAGCCCCUUAAACUGUCUUUUGCUGCCUAUUUCUCUGUAAGUUUCCUUGAAGUGGACUUACCUUUUGCACUUAGCCUUACACUAACCAGCUAUGUCUUCAAGAGCACAGGUUAGAUGUGUUAAAUCCCGCGUUUUCCAAUACUCAUUAAGUAGAUAUAUAACAAGCACAAUAAAACACCACAUUUGUCCUUAAAA